UGAAUAAUAUUACACCAGCAUAAUAACAAUGAUUAUCUGUGAAAAGACUGCGGAGCUUUUAUUUGGCCCUACAGGACAGCAGCUACUGAAUAAUUAGCAGUAAGUGCUAUCGAAGUUGUUUGAACUAGGAAGAGAAAGAAUGGCACCAGUCUCCCACGCGGCCACACAUUGCCUUGUGAAUCUCAGUUAUUUAACCCACCGAAUCCUAACCUGGACGUCCCAAGACAGCUACAUCCAGUGACUGAAUUCAUCUGCAUUGAAACCGCUU
rnacentral:lncRNA from 1 species